UUCACUUCUCACGAUACCUGAAGGGGAACAUCCUUUGGGAGAGCAUCCUAAAAACAUCCCUUUUGAAACAUCGAAUUUUUCUUCUGAAUCAUCCUGUAUGCGUCGCACGUCAAUUUAAUGCAUUUCAAAGUCGGUUCCGUGGAAACAGGUUUAAAGCUCGAGAUAACGUCUAUUCGCAAAGCAGCUUUUGUCUCAACCGUUUAAAAGCAAUAGUUGAAUAUUUGAGUAAUCGCUUUUGCUAUUAUUGAUUUUAAUUGUACACGAAAAAUAGAGAAAUAGUGUAACCAAGUUACAUCUUAUGUUACAGUUAUUAUCAAAAAAAUACACAUAUCGCAAAAGUUAUUUGUAAUUUCACGUAUAAUAUAAAAAGAAAGAGAAUUAGGUAAACAUGUUAUUUGGUAUUUGCACAUUCGGAAGAAAAGUUUAUGUAAUGCAUUUUAUCAAAAGACGAGACAUAUAAAUUUAUUACGUCACAUCCAAUUCUUAUAUAACUUCAAUCAGUAUAACGUCAGAUAUUAUCUAUCAUGCCACGCACAUGUUAGAGCAUCGACAGCGGAACGUAUAUAAAUCUAGAAUCAUUCGCAGCUGGAAACUUUCGUUCGAUAAACGUUAUCAUGAAUAAUAGACGUAGGAAACUUAUCCAAACUGCAUUACCACGGAAUGCUAUUAGACAAAGUUUGAUAGUUACUUCUUCCUGCUAGAUUGCCGAUUAUUGAAGUCAUUAGAAGCACGAAUCUAAACCAGAAAAAUCGUUUAUCGCGGGAAAAAGUACAGAUUUUACAACUACCAACGCUCAAAAAUAUAAUCUUGUUAGAUAUUUGGGUGCGCUGUGCGUGCGUGUAUAUACCAGUAAGAAUAACGUGUUUUGUUACGUAAUAUCUCAUAGUAUCGCGAAACAUCGCUAAGGAGUCAUCACGACCGUUCUCCAACCAGCUUAACGAGCAAAUACACGACAUGGCGGAAACGACCCGCAUCCUUGUCGCAGCCACGGAAAUCUUGACAGAUCCUUUUACGGGUGUGUAUAUCACGUAUCCCAGCGGGAACGUGCAUCCAGCAGCAUUGGUAACGGUAGCAGCACCAACACCAGCAUCAGCCAAGCAGCGAUGCAGCAGUAGCAAGCUGCUGAGACCAGGUCUGUCAGGCGUGCCAUAAAAUACGGCGUCGAUCGUACGUGUUGCCGCACAUGGCGAUACGUGACCAUCGAUUCCGGCUGCGGGGAAUCGAUACGACGAUUCCAACCGUGUCUAACGAUCUCUCUCGGCGCGCAGAGGUAGGACACGACUCGACACGGCACCGAAAUUCGACAAACGGCUCAAUAAUUUCGCGGAUAGUAUCCAUCGCCGUAAUAUCGCCUCAUCACCGUGAUGCACCGCAUUCGGCCGAAUAUCGCAUGAUGUACAACGACAUUCCAAGGACACAUUUUGGACGCACAUGGCGCACUCGAGAGAUAAUUACCAAGGAAGCGCAACGUAAUCGCACAUGGAUCUCAAGACAGAUCCCUUGGGCCUAUAAGCUAAUAAUUGCAAGUAAUCCCGCCGUGCAAUAGAGGGUACUAGUAGAAAUAGUGACGGUAUCUCCGAUACUGACAGUAUCGAUCGCGCACAGAUGAGACGUGUCUUAUCAUCAUUGAAGUAAAAUGAUGUGCUCUCCUAAAAUAGAUGCAGCGUAACUGGGUCAAGACUCGAUUCUCCAGUUAUGCAACAAUGCGAACUCUUAGAUGUUUAAUGAACAUGUCAGACAAUCAGACAAACAUAAUGAUGCAGCGUAAUUAGUAACAUCGAUAAUUUUAGUAUAAUUGCAGCGGAGAUAAAUAUGUGUUUUUACCUCUUUUUAAUCAUAAAUAAUCAGAUGUAUGUUUUACUUUCUUUUUUUUUUUAUAAAAAGCAAAAGUUUACGACAUAUUUGAAACGUGUUUCUAUUAAAACAAAUCUAUACCACUUAAAUAAUUUAGAAUAUUAAUAAUAUGCAUAUAAUAGUAUCUAGUAGAUUUAAUUGUGUUAGACAUUUCAUAAUGACUGAAAAAUUUAUUGGCUAUUGAAAUCGAAGAUUUAUGACGCGGGAGAAAGAAUCUUCCGUUCACAUGAUGCACCUCUUGCGGAACACAUAAAAAUUGGGCUGUAUUGUAACGAUGAUAUAUCAAUAUAUCUGUAUCUGUAUCUGUAUCAAAACCGGAAGACGCCGACGGCGACGUUUUCGCAGAAAGAACUCCACGUUAGGGGUUAUCAUAUCCCUCACUUUUCUUCGCGACGUCUAUAUACGUUUUGUACAUUAUAUGAUAGAAAUUGCCAUCCAUCCCUGUUCGCGUACCAUUUUAUGAUCGAAACUAUCUCGCUCUUAGCCAAUGCUGUCGCACUAACCGCGGCGUUCGUCAUCUCUUUUCGAUAGUGAAUGCAAGCUGCAAGCCAAAGAUUUUUACGUUCGUCGAUAUCACGGACAAUCGCAAGAACUGCGAGACCGCUUUGCGGAAUCUCGCUGACCAGCGGACAUUUCUGAAACGGCUUCUUCCUCGUCGCGUCACCAGCAGGAAAUUCAGAAGAUAAAAUCGGAACGAUUGUAAGAGUUCUGGGACAUCACGAAAUGUCCUGCUUAUAAAAGUUUCCGUCUAACAGAAAAUAAAAGUCGCUCUAACGAUUUUGCAAUAAUAUUUUAAACACAGCGCAAGUAUAAACCGUACGAUAUAUAAACCGCGAAAUGUAUUAAGCAGCCUUUACGUUUUCAUUACCGAAAUUUAUGACGAUUAAACCUAGCUUCGCGAUAGACGUUUGUAGUUUGUUUGUUUAUUUGUGUUAUUUACAUUGUGCACGCGACGCAAAAUGAGUUCGCCAGUUUAAACCGGCGUCAAAAGUCACAAUCGCGCCGCAGACACUUCGUCAACCGUUUUCUGAGACUUCCUUGUCGUUUACCUACACCACCUUUGAAAUACUUCAUUAAGUACUUUGACGCUGCAGUAAUUACCUGACCAUACUGACUAACGUUCAACUUCCUCAUUCCUUCCUACUUCUCACCUACUUUACCCUUUUCUUCGAUCUUCUCCUCUUUCGCGCAUCGCGACCCACUUUCCCGGAAACAUUAGAAUUAGCCGUGAAAUUAGCAUAUUCAGAAGUUUCGCAGUUUAACGGAUGAGUCCCACAACGCGCCGAGUUGAGCAACCUAUUAUCAAGCCAAGCGGACGUCUUAAAGCAGCUCGUACAAGCAACGUAACCACGUCGUCAUCGUGACUCCCGAGCAAAAAUCUCGUCGAGCUAGAUGUUGAUUGGACGAGUCGAGUCGCGUAAAGUUUGCGAGAGCACGAGAGUAGGUAUCCGUUAAACGUUAAUACCACGAAUAUUAUCGAGCUCGUAAUCAGAUGGGACAGACGCAGUGGUAGAGCUCGAGAUUAAGCAGACGCCCCAUGGUGCAGGCAAUCAUACCGCGAGCUGAUUGUCCAAAAAUGGCAAUCGCGCGAGGGAAUGGAGAUACUUCUAUUCUAAUUUCCAUUUUCUUUUUUGCGAAUUAAACUUUCACCCCAAGUUAAUUACGUUAAAUUUUACGUCGGCAAACUUGACUUAUUCUUCAAAGUUUUGAGGGUCACAAAAUUUAAUAUCUUGUUAUAUAAAAGUAUAAAAUUCGAAACUAAGUUAUAAUAAUAAUAAUAAUAAUUUGUAGAGAUUGUAUAGAAAAUCACGCGAUCAUUACUUAAUAAGUUGUUAAACUUAAGUCAUUAAAGUUUAUUGUUACUUUUAGCACACUCAAGUAGAAGAGUAAAUAACCGAAAAGAAAGAAAAAAGAAAAUGUAUGCAGGUUACAAGAAUACUAAUUAUACAAAAUUAAAAACAAAACUGAAAAAGAAGCACGGCAAAUUAUUAAUUAUGUUUAAGUCAAUUUUGUUAAUGUUCUUAUACUAUGACAUGUAUAUUAACAUUUAUAUUUACAUAUAUUUUCGUUAACAGCAAUCGAUUAAUUGCUGUUACUAAAAUCUUAAUAAUCAUCUUCAUGUUCAUAAUAACAAAUUAAAAAAAAAUCGAAAGAUGUAAUAACGAGAGCUAAAAACUCAAUCAAUAUUUUAUUCUUAAGAUAUUAAUUCUCGAUAAAUAAGAAAACUAAACACUUUAUCGUGUUGGUGAGGUUUCUGCGAAAAAGUUCUUUACUAAUAAAUGGUUCCAGAAACUAUUAAAAGAUUCGUAAAAGAAAACUUAAGAAAAAAAUAUUAUUUCGUAAAGAAUAAACAAGCCAUUCCCGUAUAUUCGUACAUCUGCGAUUAUGAUUCUUUGAUAUUUCUUCGUUAUAAUUAAACAUCAACGCCGUCAAAAGUAACUUUUCUCUUCUUCGACAGGAAAAAAGUUAGAGCAUUAUUUACUGAAAGUCUACAUUCUGACGGGAACACUUGUGUGACUUCGAUUGUCAAUCAACCGAGAUGAAACGCACUGAAAUAUUUGUGCUCUGUUCAGAAGUUAAUAAUCAUUUUAUCGGCAAUUCUUCGAAGUAGCAAAACCUUUUUUACAGUGUAUCGAUUGCUUUUUUAUACAUGUUUUCCGUGCUAUGCACAAAAUUAUUGUCAUGAUGUAUAUUAAAAAUUAUUUGCGUGAUUACAGAAAAUGCUAUAAAUUAAAAGGAACUUAUCUCGACACAUUUUAUAUAAAACAUCUGUAUUAAGAGGUCCGCAAUGGUAAUUGUAACUAAAAAGGAUUCCACAUAUAAUUAUAAGGUGAAGAACUAUGAACGGAUUCAUUUUCUUGAGGCUACUGAUCCGAGCUCUUUUGGCGUCAGCUGGACCGACUGACAAUGAAAGACCGAUCGUCAAAAUUGCAAUCCACUCUCGACGCUAUGAUCGAGCGGUGGAAAUCGCUGCUUCUUCGCCAAGUACAAUUAGCGGUAACUGUCGGCGAGUUAAACUUGUAAUUAAACUUCUUCUUUAAUCGUCCUAUGUGAUUGGGGCUGUCAGUCGAAAGCAGAUUUCGCCACUCAUGAGAACUACGCUCCCGCUGCGAUGGGAAUUAGUAUGCACCCGUUCAACUUUGAAUCCGUAUCUCAUUUUGGAAGAUACUAACAUCACACAAUGGAAACUUUACAUAGAGCAGUCAAAGAUAAUGAACUAUGAAAUGGAGAUGUUAAAAGGACAUUUGCUACUUAAUGAUUUCAAUUGUGAAUAAUUGAAAAAGCAUUUUGUAAUAAAAUCAAUUGAAAUUUGUGUUAACUGAGUUAUUUAUAAAAUAAAAUUUCUUUCUUGGCAAAAUCGGAAUUUCGCUUUUAUAACUGAAGUAAUAGAAUCGAUAAUAGAAGAGAUCUUAAUAUAAGGAAAACAAUGAAGUUACCUUUAAACUGUGACCAACUGAAAGCUAAAAUCUUUUCAUUACUACGAUCGGAAAACUUUAAGCCCAAUUUCAAUAGAUAUUAAUUAAGGAUAUUAUUCAUGAAUGCAAUUCACGCGAAGUGUCUAAACUUUCAAUAAGAAACGCUAUCGAAUUAGUUGAAUCUUAAAGAGUUAUUAACUUCGAGAACUAUGCGUGACAUUUUACAAUAACGUCUCACGUUAGUAAGCUAAAUAAAAUAAUACAGCCGAUUGUAAAUUAUUUCUAAUUUAUUUCUAUAACUAUAUUUCUCUAACCUAAAAAAAUUGGUUUAACAUUCGGUGGACAUACACGGAUCAAUCAACGGACGGUGCAUACGCGCAUUAUUUAUUCACCUUGUUUGAAUUCCGAUGUAGACAGAUUUUCCCGUAACGAUACUUCGAAGCAAUCGCUCGCGAUCAUUUAUAAUUGAAAAGCAAUAGCGCGCACUUCUCUAUUGUUGUGAAAGAGUGCACGGAAACGAUCGGAUUAACUUCCAUUUUUACUUUGCUGGUAUCUCGAUUCUCGAUGACAGCACUCUGCCGCUGCUUCAAAUCGUCGCUUGUUUUUUGAAAAAAAAAAAAAAAAAUCCAGAUUUCAUGGAAAUUCGUGUCACUCUUGUUACGCCGCGGAGAUUUCGCGCACAUGCCAACUUCAUAUGAACUAUGAAAGUCCAAAUUUUUCCGACUUCGUCCUUCGUACUUCAAUUUUAUCGCACAUGCCCUGGGCUACCCAAAUUUGUCGCUGCAUUCUUCUUAAUUCAUUUCGCACGAUUUUGUAUGUUUCUAUUACGCUUUUACGUUUCGCGCUUCUAAUACGUUUUACAUUUUUACGUAUCUAUGUCGAGAUGCUGAAUGUAUAUACUGAUUACGGCACAGCUUUUCAGAAACAUUUGCCAAGAAUAGACCAAGCAGAGCCAAUAGGUUCAGGCGUGAAGGAGCAAUUGACGAUAUUGGAUCAAGUAGUGAAUUAGUUUGUCGAGUUCGAGCGCGGUACAUAAUUGAGUCUAACUUCGCGGUGAAGUCUGUCAGGAGGCCGAAACUCUGCCUAAUGGCAGUAUAGACGUCGUAUAGCCUUCAUGGUGAGUAAUGGCUAAAUCUAUUGCGCCUACAUGUCGCUCGACAGUCGCGUCGCGGAGUUGAUUGAGUGUUAUUAAACUUUGGACUUAAAGAAAUAUGAGCUGUUAGAGAACAUAUCGGUAAUUUAAUAUUUAAGCAGCCGUGAAACUCAAGAUUAAACGCACGCUUCAGAAGAAAUUUAUACACUGAGAAAAAUGGUUUUAUUAUAAUAAUAAAACGGUUCUGGUUGAGCGUAUUCUUAUUAAACGAAACAGAAUUUCUGGUUAUCAUAACAAGAUUUUACAGCUUAUAACUACACCGUUUGGUUAACUGUACUAUAAGGAUUUGAUUAAGUUUUUCUUGUUGGAUCUACAAAACUUCUUGUUGAAUCUACAAAAUAAUACAAAACUUCUUGUUAUAUUUACAAAAAUAGCGAUAAUGCUGGCGCCUUCGUUCUCGCAGCGCAAGUCGGUGCAUGCCAAUCUCGCGCAAACCAACGCGGUAUCGAUGCGAUACUAAUAUCACGCGGUACCCAUAAGGUAGCUUUUAUAUUUGUUUCGUGUAUCUUACAAUCGUGUAUUUACAUUAUUCUGUUCAACGGCAUGGCGGACGAAAAAAUGUCUUCUCUUCUGCGCGAAUGGAAUUUCGACAGCUAUAUAGAGAUUUUUAGAGGUUAGUAAAAUAUAUGUAAAAUAUAUGCAGUGUACUUUAAACCAAGAUAUAUUGUUAUUAUUUUAAAAACUCUAUCCAAACUCGUUUUUUAACCAAAAAAUUGUGUUAACCUAAUAAAACAAUAUAAUAAGAUUAACAAGAAAUUUUUGUAGAGUUUUGUAAACCUAACAAAACGAUGUAGUAAGAUUAACAAGAAAUUCUGGUAGAUUCAAACAAAAUGGAAUUAACCAGAAUCCUCUGGUAAUUCCAACUACAAAAUUUGUAUCGUUCAUUUUCGAACAAACGGACAGGUUGAAUCAACCAAAAUUUCUCAUAAAACAACAAAACUUUUUUUCCAGUGUACAACAUGGAUGUAAAAAUUAAUAGAUUAACGGAGAAAUUACUUGGAUGUAUUUUUCUUAACUUCUUAAAAAUAAAUAUUUCUUGAAACGUUAAUAACUUAAAAAGAGUAAAAUAUAGAGUUAACAUAAAGAACUGUAAUAUAUUAAACUUUAUUAGUAAAAAAGAGCGAAAUAUUUAGCAAUAAUUUUACUUAAGAUUUUUUGCUUAUAACGAAACUGCGCGCGUAUUGCAAAUUAUGUACACGAUUGCCAUUAACGUUACAAGCACUUAUUCCCCAUAUUUUACUGCUAUCCAGUAUCCACGUGGAAAAGCAGCCCCGCACCUUCUCGGAGAUAAAUUUUCAACCGCGCGAGGGAACGCCGUGUCAUAGUAUAAAACGACGCCGGUUCGAACGGCGUUAUCCUUUCAAAAACUACGACGUCCUCGUUACCUUCCCAUCAGUCUGAUCGUAAAAUGAGAUCCGCUUCGGUACCAUUUUUCCUGAGAACGCCGUCAUUCGACUGCCCAUUGUGCCAAGACUGCGGGCACGAUCGAGAAUCUCCCAAACGUCAUCUCGAAUCCCGAAACGCGCGACAGCCCUACGAGCGCGGCGGCCGAGACCUGAGUUUUCUCACGUACGUGACGACAUUCUGGGACAUUUCGUGGUAAUUUCAUUGGCCGAGGUACGAGGGUCGGGUGGCUGUUGCCGAGUUCGCGAGCGCAUCGUCUCCUUUAAUAUUUUCUGCUUUUUGUGCAGACAGUUAUUUGACUCUCCGUCCCUCGUCUCUUCUUUUUUUUUUUUUUACUAGCUAUACAGCUCAUUACAUUGUCGGGACGCGUAGCCGCUAGCGAGCAAACUCUUUCACAACUUCACAGCUAAUUCUUUCGCGCGAUAUGUGAAUACAUGUGAAAUUCGACGAAAUUAAAGAGGAAAUUUGCGUAGAAAAUUACACGUAUAAAUUAUAUAUACAACUACAUCCUCAAUUUAUAUUUAAACAAAACAACCGUACAAAUAAAAUAAAUGUAUCAAAUAUUAAAAUUACGGUUUGUGUAAAUAAGUCUACUGUAUUAAAAAAAACCGUAAUUUUUACAUUUAUAUACUAUACGUGAUGUGUAGGUUAUACGUACAUACUGUAUGUAUUAUAUGGUAUAAAAUAUUGAUCGAGAGUGGAACCAGUCUACCUGCUCUUAUACUGCUUUUCCAAGCUGUAGUCGCGGCGGCUUCCACGAAAUUCGAAAGUCGAUAUAUCGAAGUAGUAACAAGCGACUCCCUCGUGACAUAGACCGGUGCCUCCACGGACAUCUUCCCACGUCCGCUCUCCCUUUCUCCUCUUCCCUCCCAAUUUCCGUGGUCCCGUGGACCUCGCUAGGGAUAUCUUCCAGCAAUAAAAGUGCGACGGACUAACUUGUGUGUUCGUCUUAAAAGUACGGUCGCACCGUCGGAGGAUUUUAUGGGGCGGUGAGGGUCAGCGGGAUGGGUGACGAGGGUUAGUACUUUCGUCGGGGGCGGUGCCCCUUUAAACACGACGGGAAAUCUUGUUUCGCGCAAUGCCACGAAGAUUUGCGGCUACGAAAGACGGUAAGGGAGAAAGAGAGGAAAAGGGGGGGAGAGAGAGAGAGAGGGAGAGAGAGAGAGAGAGAGAGAGAGAGAGAGAGAGAGAGAGAGAGAGGGGGGGGAAGGACUGUGCUCCGGAAAAUUAUGGUGACCGCGGGAAACGAACACGCGCGAUUUAUGUUGAACAUUCGCCGCGCCGCGCGUCUCUGUUGCCCGCUGAUUACUCGCGGAAGGAACGAGACAGAAAGAGACUCGGCGAAUUGGAAGAGAAAUUAUAAUGUGGAUACACGCUUUCUAUGCAACCUUGUUACACAGAAUGUUCCGUCGAAUGAGAAACUCGUCAGGAGCAAUGUUGCAUUAUAUUCCCACGAGUAGAAUACAGCAGAAACAAAGUUUAUAGUUUCACUUUUUAUUCGUAUUAUAUAUUUCUGUUCACACCACGAUUCGUAAAUUAAUUUAAACAGAAUGUUUACUCAAAUUUUGUAAAAGUAUUUCCUAAGCAUUCCUGAAUUAUAUUCAAAAUUCUAGGUAAAAUUAAAAAAUGUGUUAAUGUAGCUUUCAAUAAAUUUAUUUUAUCACAUCUUUUAGUGUUUUCCUUAAUCACAUACAAUCAGAAAGGAAAGCUACUUUAAAUAUUAAAUUUAUAGAAAAA